rnacentral:pre_miRNA from 1 species
AAAAAGACAAAUCCUGAUUUCCAUGCCCAACGUUUGACCGUCCGUCUUAUUUUAAAAAAAUAUGAAAAAAAUUAAAAAGACAAGUCACACAUAAAGUAUUAAUAAUAUUUUUUUAUUUAAAAGAAUUAUAAAAAAAUUUCAUACAAGACGGACAGUCAAAGUUGGACACGAAAAUAUAAGGUUUGUUUUUUU